CCUGUGUUGCUUACCCUCGUGAGGCAAUCGGUCGGUUUCGGUGCUCUCAUCCUCCUUGCGCCCUUCGGGGGUGCGGGGUGGACGCGAGGCGGGCUGUGUGUUCUUGGCGUGCUGCGCGCUGUGCCGCGCCGCUGUCCAGGCCCAUGUGGUCUCUGCCCGUGCUCUCGGAUGCGGAACGUCUUAUGCGUGGGCGCGGGGCCUCGGCCUUGCUCUGCCCUGGCUUUACGAAUAGCUGCCUCUGUUGCGAACGACGGCGGCUCCCGUCUCGAUCCCGCUGUGCGGGACGUGCGGGCGCCAGCGUCGCCGAGGAAUGCUACCUGGUUGAUCCUGCCAGUAGUCAUAUG
rnacentral:misc_RNA from 1 species